GAUGAACGCUGGCGGCGUGCCUAACACAUGCAAGUCGAGCGAAGAUAGAGACGAGUACUUGUACAAAUUUUUAUCUUAGCGGCGGACGGGUGAGUAACACGUGAGUAACCUGCCUUUCACUGGGGAAUAACAUCGAGAAAUCGGUGCUAAUACCGCAUAAUGUCACGAGAUCGCAUGGUUUUGUGACCAAAGGAGCAAUCCGGUGAUAGAUGGACUCGCGUCCGAUUAGAUAGUUGGUGAGGUAACGGCCCACCAAGUCAACGAUCGGUAGCCGAACUGAGAGGUUGAUCGGCCACAUUGGGACUGAGACACGGCCCAGACUCCUACGGGAGGCAGCAGUGGGGAAUAUUGGGCAAUGGGCGCAAGCCUGAUCCAGCCAUGCCGCGUGAGUGAAGAAGGCCCUCGGGUUGUAAAGGCUCUUUUGUCCGGAAAGAAAAGCGCCGGGUUAAUACCCUGGUGUCCUGACGGUACCGGAAGAAUAAGCACCGGCUAACUUCGUGCC
rnacentral:rRNA from 1 species